GCUUCCUGUGAUGAUAAAUCCGCUCCCUCUUCUGAGUUAAGAUGAGGACAAAAGCGUAACCGGAAUCGAAUUUUAUUUCUGAGGAAGU